UAGAAAGAGUCUUGCUUGUGGUUUUCAGAGCCUUGCUUUUAUCAGAAGACAACACAUUAGUUUUCAAAUCAAAAUUUGAAAGAGAAGAAGAAUUACUUUGUUGUUUUAGUGCUGAAAAAGUGUUUGUGUUUCCCUUCUUUUUGAGUUGUCGAACAACAUGAAUCGCCUUAUGCAACAUCUUUUCCAAACUAGCAUAAGUCUGAAGCUCGUUCUGAUCAGGCACAUCACGAUUGCUUCUUUUGGCUUUGGUGAAGGGACGAUCACCACUUCUGGCCCACUUCUCAUCAUCGCACCUGUUUUGUCUCUUCCUUUGUUUCUGCACAAAGUCAAAC
rnacentral:lncRNA from 1 species